AAAAGACUUAGUCCUAACCUUACUGUUAGUUCUUGCCAAACAUAUACAUGCAAGUAUCCGCACCCCAGUGAAAAUGCCCUCAACCCCUUAAAAAGAAAGCAGGAGCAGGUAUCAGGCUCACAUCUAAACCGUAGCCCAAAACACCUUGCCUAGCCACACCCCCACGGGUAUACAGCAGUAAUUAACAUUAAGCAAUAAGUGAAAACUUGACUUAGUUAAAGCAAUACUCAGGGUUGGUCAAUCUUGUGCCAGCCACCGCGGUCAUACAAGAAACCCAAAUUAACUUCAACCGGCGUAAAGAGUGGUCUCUUACUAUCGCACACACUAAGACUGAGGUACAACCAAGCUGUUAUAAGCAUAAGAUGUAUGCAAUCCCUACAAUUAAAAUGGUCUUAGCCCCAGUCGACUGACUAAACACCACGAAAGCAAGGACACAAACUGGGAUUAGAUACCCCACUAUGCCUUGCCCUAAAUCCUGAUGCUUCCCCUACCUAAGCAUCCGCCUGAGAACUACGAGCACAAACGCUUAAAACUCUAAGGACUUGGCGGUGCCCCAAACCCACCUAGAGGAGCCUGUUCUAUAAUCGAUAACCCACGAUAUACCCAACCAUCCCUUGCCAAAUCAGCCUAUAUACCGCCGUCGCCAGCCCACCCCAAACUGAGGGACAAGAAGUGGGCUCAAUAGCCCCCCCGCUAAAAAGACAGGUCAAGGUAUAGCCCAUGGGAUGGAAGAAAUGGGCUACAUUUUCUACCAUAGAAAACUACGACAAGAAGUGUGAAACUCCCUCCUAAAAGGCGGAUUUAGCAGUAAAGUAGCACAAUCAUGCCUCCUUUAAGUCGGCCCUGGAGCACGUACAUACCGCCCGUCACCCUCCUCACAGCUACACAUAUAACUCUACAUAAACCACAACCUAGCCAAAGACGAGGCAAGUCGUAACAAGGUAAGUGUACCGGAAGGUGCACUUAGUCUACC
rnacentral:ncRNA from 1 species